CUAUGCAUAAUAUAUUCAAAGCCCUUCCAGUUUUUUAGGGUUUUGCAAAAUGAUUUGCGCUACAAUUAGGUUGUCAAGAUCAGCGACUACCCAGUAUUCGGUUGCCGUGGGACUCCUUCCAUGGACCCUUGCUACUUUCUGCUCAAUCACCACCGUUGAGAUUACUUCAUGAUGGAACCAACAGAAACGGCUCAAAUUCAAAUUCAGUUGUGUUUCAGACGAUCAAUUACGCUCUCUCUCAUGCUUGUACUCGAGCAGUGCUUCUCUACUCAGCCAAGUGAAAGCCAAUGAGCUCAAAGUUGGAGGGGAACUGCUUUACCCGCUCUGUCUACUUUAUUAUAUGAAAGAGGGAAUUUAAUGGAAGCAAUAGACAAGCUGCAGAAAGUUGAAAAUUUAGAACAAUCUUCUCUGGGAGUAAGAGUUGCUGCGGUGUUCUUGUUGGUCUCCAUUUACAGUUGGGGCAAGAUCAUACUUCGUCAGUGGUCACAGAUAAAUGCUUAGAAAUUCUGGGAAAAUGCAAACCAGAGAAUGGUGAAGGUGAUUAUGCAGCUGUUAAUUCUCGUGCUGAGGCAGUAAAAGGGCUGGUUGAGCUUGUCCAUGGAAAUGUUGAAUCAGCUGAAUCUUUCUUCAGAGGACUGCAGGAGAAUGUAGGGGCUUUAUAGACGGGCAUUAGAACUGCUGGAAGCUCCACCAUUGGAUUCUGAGGGUAUAGCCAGUGUCUUAGUAUUUUGUCUAUCCCCGGUGGUAUCCAGGAGUGAUUCUUUUUUGCCUACUUGAUUGCACAGGUUUUGAGACAAAAGUGGAUAGAAGACAUAUAAUGGCCCUUGCAAGAGCUAUACUUCAAAAUCGUAUUGCUUUUCUUUUUGCAUACUCAUAUAUUCUUAUGGAGGGAUCAUGACUCAGUGAUGAGUUAUUUCUGCCUAUCAUGUCACAGAAAUGUGGAUAUGCUGAAGCGCUCUGUAUUCAGCAGAACAGAAAGAAUGAAGGUGAGAGAAUGAAAAGGUGGGCAGAAGCUGCCUGGAGAAACCACCCCAUGUCACUGGCCGAUGCCCUGCAAUUCUCAGAUCCAUCUAAUAAAGUGAUGGUUAUAGAUGCUCGAACUAGCAGGGCCAUAUAAUCAUCUUAUUCCAGGUUCAGUAGCUGUUAGAUAGCUCUAGUUAUACUCUGCAGAUUGCAUGGCAACAUGAAUUUUGCCGCAAAACAAAUGAAGAACAUAACCUAUUUAUGAUCUGUUUAUGUAUGAAAUAAUGUGAAGAGAUGCAAGGCCAGUGGCAUUGCUAAGUUUUGCUGUCUGAAAUCUUGUUGUAUCAACUAGAGACUGCUGAAACUCGUAAUUUGCAUGAAGAGUAUUUCAAUGUGCAGUUACUGUAUAAACCGUCUGGCCGAA